rnacentral:lncRNA from 1 species
AUAUCCUGCUGCUUCUGUGUGAGCUCACUGGUUUUAUCUGCAUGCAAUAGAUUGUAUACAGAAAUUGAAGAUUCUCCAUAAGUACAUGGAAUUUCACAAAACACUGUUGUGGAAGGAAGCUGUGUUAGAGGUAUGGAUCUGACAUUCCAUCUCCCCAGGAAGGGCAGGCAGAUCCUCCAUCUGAUGCACUAAGAAGAGACUGAGUCUAAAUUGUUAUUUUACUGAUUGCUUUAAUACAACAAACUCUAAAUUUGCAGAGGAAAUGGAUGUGCUUAACUUUGGCUGAAAGGAGUUUAAGUCCUGGCUCUUUAAGCAUGUCAGCUUUACUGGAGAGAUACAACCCUUCCGUGGUAAUUCACUUAGACAACCAAGCAAGGAAAGGUUUGCAUGUUUAACUCUACUCUAUACCUUAAAACACUACAUUAUAUGUAAAUCCAUUUCAUUAUCAAAGUAUACAUCCUCUUUUAAAGUAAGCUGAGUUCUUUAGGAGGAGGAAUUAUCAAAAAACAACAGCUCAGUCCUUUAACCAGGAGCCAAUCAUUCAAAAUCACUUUCUUUUGGUGAAAGGUAUAAAAGCCUACAACCUACAAUUUCUUACCCCUUUGCUACUAUCAACCUAAAGAAAUAGGAAACUACUGUCUCCUGUUGUAGAAUGCGGUUUUAAAACAUCUUUUCUUACCAACUGCUGUAGGACUUGAGCUGGAUACAGUGAUUAAUACUGUCACAGAAGUGAGCAGUUUCUGCUCUUAGUCCUGUCACCACUAGCAUCUAUUGACAAAAUCACUGUUUAAAGCUCUACUGCAUCACAGAGCAAGUACUGAUACUGGUUAUUUUACAACUAAUGCAACAUCCAGUAAGUCACGUGUAAUCUCACAGUUAAGAAUUCAAGACUAGAGUAAUAACUGCAGAAACCACAAGCAGGAAUUUCUCUGAUCUGGCAGGAAAUAAGGGGAAGGAUCGUUUAGAUAACAUAGUAGAGAUUGGGCAGGAACAAAGAAUUUAUUUCUUCAUCCAUUAUUUUAUACACUUUACAAAAACCAGGAAUCUCACUGUGCCCACGGCAACUGAAAGCAAACACUACUUUUUGUCAUCUAGCAGGGUCUUCUUAAAAUCAUAAUACAAAGAUUUGUGCUGUAGCAGUCCUCCACUUUGCACUGUAACAAUAAGGCUUACUGUACUUUAAAUACAAAGCUGUUACAUCUGCAGUUAUGAACCACUGGCUUUAACAAACAUCAUUUUAUAAUUGCUUUUUGCUUCCUUUUUGUUUUCUGGGACCGCAGCUUCAUCGUGUUUUUCAGCAGCUUGCAGUUCCUCUGCAGAUUCAUCUUGCUCUGAAUCAGAGCCACUUUCGGAGUCCUCUGAACUCUCAUGGUCAGAGGAAUGCCCAGCUGCCUCUUCUUCACCUUCCUGAAACUCACUGAAACCCAGUCCACAAUGGCGCCGGUUUCGUCCAGACAUCGUGCUGUCCAUGCUCUGCUGGUACUGAGACUCCAGUUCUUCAUUCAUUUUCUUGUCUUCUUCCCCUGUCCUGAAGUGAGAGGUUGAUCUGUGGUCUCCGAUAACAAGGCGGCCAGUAUGUUCUUUCUUCCCCGCGCCCAUCAGCCUCAGGAACUUCUGCUUCCUCUCCUCGUUGCCGAGGUCCGCUGCCUGCCAGCUGCCGGAGCCGUCGGGAGAGGCCGCUCGCUUGAGGCCGUGGCGAGCCUGCGACUCCCGGGCCGAGCUCAUGGCCGCGGCUGGGUGACCGGGCCGCUGCGCCGCCUUCCUGCCGGAGCCGCUCCCUCCGCCGGCGCCGGGUCACGGCCCCGGGGUCGAGCGCGAGGGACGCCGGGAUCGGUA